rnacentral:rRNA from 1 species
GACGAACGCUGGCGGUGUGCUUAACACAUGCAAGUCGAACGGAAAGGCCCUGCUUUUGUGGGGUGCUCGAGUGGCGAACGGGUGAGUAACACGUGAGUAACCUGCCCUUGACUUUGGGAUAACUUCAGGAAACUGGGGCUAAUACCGGAUAGGGGCUCCUGCUGCAUGGUGGGGGUUGGAAAGUUUCGGCGGUUGGGGAUGGACUCGCGGCUUAUCAGCUUGUUGGUGGGGUAGUGGCUUACCAAGGCUUUGACGGGUAGCCGGCCUGAGAGGGUGACCGGCCACAUGGGGACUGAGAGACGGCCCAGACUCCUACGGGAGGCAGCAGUGGGGAAUAUUGCACAAUGGGCGGAAGCCUGAUGCAGCAACGCCGCGUGCGGGAUGACGGCCUUCGGGUUGUAAACCGCUUUCGCCUGUGACGAAGCGUGAGUGACGGUAAUGGGUAAAGAAGCACCGGCUAACUACGU